rnacentral:rRNA from 1 species
AUUGACCUCGGAUCAGGUAGGGAUACCCGCUGAACUUAAGCAUAUCAAUAAGCGGAGGAAAAGAAACCAACAGGGAUUGCCUCAGUAACGGCGAGUGAAGCGGCAACAGCUCAAAUUUGAAAUCUGGCCCUUCCGGGGUCCGAGUUGUAAUUUGUAGAGAGUGUUUCGGGUGAGAUCACGGUCUAAGUCCAUUGGAACAUGGCGUCAUAGAGGGUGAGAAUCCCGUAUGUGACUGUGGAUCGAGCCCAUGUGAAGCCUCUUCGACGAGUCGAGUUGUUUGGGAAUGCAGCUCAAAAUGGGUGGUAAAUUUCAUCUAAAGCUAAAUACUGGCUGGAGACCGAUAGCGCACAAGUAGAGUGAUCGAAAGAUGAAAAGCACUUUGGAAAGAGAGUCAAACAGUACGUGAAAUUGUUGAAA